GGAUUCGAAUCGAGGGUUAAAAUGGUUGGCAUUCUCGUUGUUGUGGGAUCUCGGCUCGUGGUUGUGGGGAGUUUCUUUCGUUGUUCGGCUUUUCCUUAGCAGCCUAUAUAUGGCCCAUUCUUUCAUGUGAUUGCUAGUUGCAGACAUGUUUGCAUUUGUGGUGCUCUUAUCGUCUAUUGAUUGAUCUAAUUUAUUCCAAAUUGUUGGAGAAACCUCUGUGCAUGCAUUACUAUGCCUAACCUGAUCAGAUGUUUUCUUGGUUUGUCUAUAUAUUAGGCAUUUGAUAAGAGUCGAUGAAGAGCUGGUGUGGGACUUGUUCUGCUAUCUUGGGCUCUUAUGAUCUCCAAGCGAUCAUAAGAAAAAUCUUUGGAGAUCUGUAGAAAAAUCUUUGGAGAUCUUCGAGUAGUACCAAUGAUCCAGGUUAAGACAGAAGAUUAACAUAAGCUGUUGAACUUCAAAGGCGAUGUUGCGGGUCAAUCAAACUGAUAAAUGUACUUGGAUAGUGAGCAAACUUGUUAAUGAGCAUACAAAUCACGAGUUGACUAGUCCAGAUAAGGUUAAAAAUCUUCAUUCACAUCGAAAGUUAUUGGAUAAUUCCUUGUGCUUGAAUAUUUCCUGUGUCAGUGUCAUGUACGUGUUUGCUUCCUUUUUAUAUUCGUUCCUUCAUUCUGUGUGUGUAAUAUGUAUGCUAACUUCUCUAUUUAACGAGUAACUAUGGUAUUGUGUACCUGUGUGUAUGUAAUAAGUCUGUUAAAUUCUCUAUUAUCUUUCCUUCUCUAUUAAUUAUGGUUUUGUGUUCC